AUGUGUGCAACUAUUUUAAUUAUGUAACAAUCUUAUAUUAUGUGGUAGGUCAUUCAAUAUAUCAAAGAAAAAAACCAAAUUGGAAGGUUGUUAAGUGUUCCAAACAAAAUGGGGUGGUAGAAUGCGGGUACUAUGUUAUGCGAUUCAUGCGGGACAUAAUUUCUGCGAGGAGUACUUCGAUUGUAGAUGUCAUGAAAAGUUUACCUCCUAUGUACUCUCAAGAUCAAAUCGAUGAAGUUAGAUCGGAAUUGGCGGAGUUCCUUUCUAAGCACGUACAUCGUGCUUAGCACCAGAUUAGGAAACAACAUUUUUUGAAGUAUUUUG